rnacentral:lncRNA from 1 species
UUUCUAUCUCUAUAUUUUUCAUUCACUCAACCUAAUUCUUCCAUUUUUUUGCUCAAGAUUUAUCAUCUUUUGAGGGGAAGAUUUAUCAUCUUGAAUGUACACAAUAUUUUUUGUUAAUAUACAUAACAGCUUUUUGUGGGAUAAAAAUCUUAUGUCUUAGUAAGUAUUCAGCAAAAUAAGUACUAGAAAACUGCUACCAACAUAUGUCCAACACUUUUUAACAUGCUCUAUUUUUUUAUCUGGAGUUCUGACCAUCGGCCUCAUCUAAUAUUAUACAUUAUCCUUUACUAAUGAGCUAAGCUCCCGGAACAAAUAAUCUAUCUUAUUAUUAGUUAAAAUUUGUAUGUAUUCCACAAAAUUUACCUAAUUUAUAUUGAUGGUAAUGCUAGUGUUAUUCCAAGUACUGUAGUUUAGUUUUAUAGUUAAAUUUUUGGAUUAACAUAACUAUGAUUUGUUGGAUGGGUGGAUCAGGAAAAGUCAAACCAGAUGAUGGGCAACAUAGGUGACAAAGCCCAAGCUGCAAAGGAAAAAGUCCAGCAAACAGCCCAAGCAGCUAAGGAGAAGACAGGACAGACAGCCCAAGCUGCAAAGGAGAAAACCCAAGAAACAGCCCAAGCUGCAAAGGACAAAACCCAGCAAGCAGCCCAAGCAACAAAGGAUAAAACCCAAGACACAACUGGUCAAGCAAGAGACAAGGGUUAUGAAAUGGGCCAGGCUACAAAAGAAACUGCCCAAUCAGGAAAGGACAACUCAGCUGGGUUUUUGCAACAGACAGGUGAGAAGGUUAAGGGUAUGGCACAAGGUGCAACUGAAGCAGUUAAGAACACUUUAGGAAUGAAUAAUGAUGAGGAAGACAAGGACCAUUUCACAACAAAAACAACUACAACAACCCGUCGUAACGUCGUUGAUUGAGAUUAUUAGCUACUAUGUUUCGAUAAUGUUGUAUUGUAAUUUGUUUUUCUUGAAUUUGGUUUUUACCAAAUGCACUUUCUUUUAGAAUAAGUUACGAUUCCCUCAUAUCUAGAGAGGUGAAAGGGAAAUGUAUUAUGUAAUCUCUAUUUUUCUAGUUUCUAGUUUGAACCUUGUUCUUCUUGUGAUAAAUAAUACUUUAAUUUUCUGUUCCUGGUUUUGUUUCGUUUUCUAUCUCAAUCUCGUUUAGUUCUUUGAUGUAAGCUUUGUUUGUUUGCUCAUUCAUUAUUCUAUUUCGCACGUCGAUAUAUCAAGAAUGCAGUGACAUUGAAUCCUCCUCCAUAGAGGAGUUCGUUGGAUUUGGCACCUAAAUCGGAACAAUUUAGGUUUCAUAUGUUGACGACUUUGAUAAUGUAUUCCAUUGAUUACUUCAUUCAAAGCCCUAUGUUAAAUAAAAAAGAGAAAUAAAUAAGUAGGUUUUAUGUUACUCUGUUUCAAAACACUAUAUAAAAGAUUACUACAUAGAAAAAAAGAGGAGUGAUAUUUGUACAAUUAGUUUUAGAUAAUUUUGAUGACAACCACUUUUCUACUGUGUGAUUGAACAAACACAGUGGAGAGAGAACGAAGAAGAUAGAGAAUAAAAACACAUGUAAAUAUAAGAAAGAUGGUUGUUUCAAAAAUUGGUUGUCACUAUUUGAAUUUGGUAACAUUCUAAAAAUGUUAGGUAAAACCUCUCUUUUUGUCUUUAAGAAAUCAAGUUGAUAUAUGAGCAUCGAAUUGGAGAUCUUGAAAGGAGCACACUCUAAUAUUUUAAGUCAUGGUAAAGUCUAUGUUACUAUACAAUAACGUGGUUAACAUCUAAGAAACUUACUAUAGCAAUCAAAACGAUGAUAGUGACUAAUUGGCUGUGGAAUAUUUUCCUAGCUAAUUUUAAGUAAUGUAAAAAAAAUAUAAAUUGAUGGACACAGUAAUUAAGAAGCUCGUUGUUUAUUUAGUUAGUGAAUUCUAGAAAGAACAAUGUCUCUCACUCAGUUGUUCCAGCAUCGCCUUACCUUUCAUCGAUUGAAGGUUUCAUCGUCUAAAAUUCAAUGGCCUAUCAGUCGAUGUCGGAUAACGUGAUAUUUAUUUAUAGUUGUAAUGGACCUCAUAUUUUUAGGCUAGAAAUAUUAGCUUAAACCCAUGUAGAACAAUUUCCUUCAUGACUUCAAGAGAAUCUAGACUAUUUUCACGUUUUAAUUCUCUUGUCUUCUUGCAGUUCUUUAUUUAAUGUUUAAGAUCAUACAAACAUAUGACAUUAAUAUUUUCAAACAAUAAAAACAAUAAGAUUGGAUUAAAAGAUAACUAAUGUUUCAACUGAGAGUAAGAAUUUUUUUAGAGAUGGCACAUCAUUACAAUGUUUGUCUAUAAGAAUAACUUAAGUACGAAGAGUGGAGAGUUUAUUUUUUUUUCUAUAUGAUACAUCAUCAUUAUGCAAAACUCAAGUAUAAAGAGUGGGAUUUUUUUUUAUUUUUUUUAGAUAGAUAAUGUUGAGUUUUAACUCUUUCACUUAUCGUGUUUCUUCAACCAAAAUACGAAUAUUAUCAUAAGAGAUAAUGACCAUAAUAAAUUAAUUGUUUCAAUUUAUUUGAUGGGCAUAAAAAUAAGAGGCUAACGGUAAAAUGAUUGAAUGAAAAUAUAGAUGCUUGAAUGUCAUUAUACCAACAAUCCCCCCUAUGACAAGCAAGUAAAAAACAAAGGGUUAAAUAUGUUUUUGGUCCUUAUAUUUUAUGCAAUUUUGAGAAUAGUCCCUACAUUUCAAUAAAUGUUUUUAAAAUCCCUACAUUUUUCCUUCGUUAGUGCAAUUGUUCCUUGCCAUCACUGCCAUGUUGAUGAAACACAAGUCAUCCUAACAAGUUCAACCCCACCCCACCAAAUCUCCACCACAACACCUUCCAUACUCGCAACGGCAAAAACUUUCAACGAUAACAUCAUCGCUUUUGGCCUCCAAAUCUUCCCCUCUAAACCAACAUAUUUCACUGGAAAUGUGACGAACAGUGGCAAUCCGCAUAUACGACGCUGCGGAGAAAGAUCGUGGUGAAGUUCCCCGCCGUUUUUUGGCGAGAUUGAACCGCCAACAUUGGCAUCACGUUAGAAAUUUGACAACAUGGACUAUUUACGCUAACGGAGAAAAAAUGUAGGGAUUUUAAAAACAUUUAUUGAAAUGUAGGGACUAUUCUCAAAAUCGCGUAAAAUGUAGGGACCAAAAACAUAUUUAACCCAAAAACAAAUAUGGGCAAAAAAAAGGUUUAGCGAUUAAGUGUUAAUGUUUUAAGGAUUGAAUUAAACACAUAGCGAGUGAGGCAACACCUUAUAUCCAAUAAGUGAUGUAUUCUUAAACUUAAUAAUGCACUUAAGUCGGGGCCUUUAAAAUGAGUGCAACUUUGCUCCACUUAGGAGGCCUCCAGCUAUUCACUACACAGAUGUAUGAAUGUGGCAAAAACGAUAUUAAGGGUUGAGAUUAAAAGAUUACAAAUAGGCAUUUGUUUACCGGAAAAAAAAAACCUACACGUUUCCAUUUCUUUCUCUAUGAAACAAUACCACGUUCCUCCAUCUUCCUUCUCGCAUGCACCGUAAACUCCAUAACAGAUGUAUUAAUUCAAACGGUUGGUAAAACCAGUGUCAUCGAUUCAUGUAUAAUAAAAUUUGACUCCACCUCUCUCUCUCUCUCUCUCUCUCUCUCUCUCUCUCUCUCUCUCUCUCUNNNNNNNNNNNNNNNNNNNNNNNNNNNNNNNNNNNNNNNNNNNNNNNNNNNNNNNNNNNNNNNNNNNNNNNNNNNNNNNNNNNNNNNNNNNNNNNNNNNNNNNNNNNNNNNNNNNUCUCUCUCUCUCUCUCUCUCUCUCUCUCUCUCUCUCUCUCUCUCUCUCUCUCUCUCUCUCUCUCUCCCCCUUUUCUAUUCUAAUUCUGUUGUUAUUGGAAGAUUUAGUAGAUCAAUUAUUUCAAUUUUCAAUUUUAGUAUCUCUGUUGAUAUCAAUCUAGAUCGUUUUGUUUUUAUCAUGUUGAUCUCGAAGUAGUUCAUUUCAUCAGUCGGAUCAGACGGACGACGCCGACGAGAAGGAGAGGGAGAGUCAACGACCAUGUUGUUUCAAAGGAAGAAGAAGCAACAUGGUGUUGUUUGAGAGAGUGUGUGGGAUUUUUUUUUGCAGUAAAAAAAUGGCUAUUUCUAAUCUUUUAUCUCAAUUGUUUUUGUCACAUGUCAUACAUAUGGGUACGUAGUGAACAAGUAUAAAUAGAGGUAUCUUAAAUGGACCAAAGUCAAACUCCUUUAAAACCCACACUACUCGCUUUAAGAUUGUGAUAGUUUCGUGAUAUAAUUUCUCCAUAACUAAGGCCUAAUAUUCACCCUGGGUUGCUUCCUUUUGGGUUGCUCAAGAAAGUUUGUCUACGACUUUCUUAGAAGGUGGCCUAUGUCUUCACACUCACAUAUUCAAUGGUAGAUACAUGUAGUGCGUCUGUAUAGCUUCUUUAAAAAAAAAAUGUUUGUCUCUAUAGUACCAUGUAUUCAUUAUGAACUUAUAUUGCUCAUAUUCGAAGUAAGCACUAUCACACUCCAUAUGGAUGAACAAUGUAGUGCAUAUAUCAGUAUUCAUAUGGUUUCGUUUGACCACAAAUCGGGUAUAUAUAUUCACCAAAUUUUCUCCACUCACGCUUUAAAUCACCCCCUCCCCACCCCCCGACGUGUUUUAUGGAAAAUCCUUUCGUAAAAGGAUCUUCAAUUUGUUUUUUCUUUUCUCCCUAGUCUCAUAUGGUGAGAUAGUAUCAUUUUCUAACAAGAUUUGUAUCGUCUUUCAUAGGCACUAUUAUUAGUUAUAUAACUUGUAGUUUAUGAUCACAAUAGAUUUAGAUGACUGGAUCUCCUCCAUAAAGGUGCCUCAGUGACAUUGAAUCUUUCAACCAUUUUGCUUCUUGACUUGCAAAGUCAAUAGCUGCGAAUUUUGAUUUCAUUGGUAAAUUUGACAAGCAUAUAUGCUUUAUUUAUUUCCUAGAGAUACCACAUCAUAAUGAAAUAAACAAGUACUUCGUAAUGGAACUUACCCUGUCUUUAUUUUAGAUCGAAUUUACAAUAUAAAAUUCUUCUACUAUGGAGAAUUGGAAAAUAUUAUAAUCAAUCUAUAAUAUCACAUAGAUAUAUUAAAAAAUAUAACUGACCAUUUCCAUUGAUCACCAUUGAGACUUAUAUACUUCAUCUAUUAUUUCAUAAUACAACUUGCAAUGUCAUGUAUAAUAGAAUUUAGGCUUAAAUAAGAAAAAGGUCCCUGUAAGUUCGCGCAUUUUUGGUUUUAGUCCCUGUAUCUUUUUUUUGUUGCGAAACAACCCCUGUAUUUACUUAACAUUUUGACAUUCGUCCCUGCCGUCCGUUUCCGUCAAAAAAACGAUUCUCUGGCUAACGGACUAAUAUGUGCCAUAUGAUGAGCUGACAAUUGGCUAUUAGAGGGACUAAAACCAAAAACGCAAAUUUACAUAGGGACGAAAAUAAAAAACAUAAUCAUCAAAAUUUGAAUUUUAAAACAUAUUAUUUUCACCUUCUUCCUCACUAUGUUACUUCUCUCUUCUUCAUUUCUGCCUGCCAUUCCCACCCUUCCAUAGCUUUGCGCGCUAACACCAAAAACCCAUUUCAUUGAACAAUGUCUUCUCAUUCCAUUUGUCAAUCAUCAUCAAAUGAGUUGCCAAUACGUGGUUGCAGAAAAAAUUAUGAGGAUGUUCAUCUCCAAUUCGCAUGCCAUGCUGCUACAACAUGGAAAAUUGAUAAAGAGAAAGAGCCAUUAAGCAUUAAUAUUACAAAAUUCCAGAGGUAAUUGAGAAAGCUUAAAUUCUCACAGUUGAUUGCAAGAGGUGCUACUAAAGGACUUUGUUUUCUACAUCAUAAUUGCAUCCCUCACAUCAUACACAAAGACAUGAAGUCAAGCAAUGUAUUACUUGACAAUGAAAUGGAGUCAAGAGUCUUGGAUUUCGAAAUGGCAAGACUAAUAAGUGCACUUAUGGCAAGACUAAUAAGUGCACUUGAUACACAUCUUAGUGUAAGCACACUAGCAGGAACACCUGGAUAUGUUCCACCAGAGUAUUACCAAAGUUUCAGGUGCACUGCAAAGGGUGAGGUUUAUUCAUUUGGUGUUGUAAUGUUGGAACUUCUUAAUGGGGAAAGGCCUGGUGAUAAGGAGGAUUUUGGUGACACAAACUUGGUUGGAUGGGCCAUGAUUAAGGUUCACGAAGGGAAACAAAUGGAAGUAAUUAACACUGAUUUGCUUUUGGAGAUUCAAGGAGGAACAAAUGAAGCAGAACUGAAAGAAGUAAUUGGCACUUAUAGGCAGCUCAUUUGAUGAUGAAUGAGAAAUGGAAUGAGAAGACAUUGUUGAAGGAAAUGGGGUUUGAGUUUUUGGGCGCAAGCAAUUAAAGAAAGAACAAAUAGAGGAAGAAGAAGGAAAGACUAGUUUUUAAAAUUUUAAAAUUGAUGAUUACGUUUUUUUAAAUUAAUCUCUAUGUUAAAUUGCGUUUUUGGUUUUAGUCCCUAUACUAACCUCAGUCAUCAACUAGUGCCAACUUACGAAGUGCCACGUAUUGCUCUGUUAGCCAGCUCAUCGUUUUUUCACGGAAUUGGACGGCAUGUACUAGAUCCAAAACGUUUGCUAAAUACAGAGUUUGUCUCACAACAAAAAAACUUACAAGGACUAAAACCAAAAAUGCGCCAACUUACAUAGAUCUUUUACUUAUUUAAGCCUAGAAUUUAUAAAAUACACAACAUAUUAAUCAAUCAUCUGACACUCAAAUUGAGAGAUUAUAUUUUGAAAUUUCAUUCCUAUCCUCGAGUUACUAUCUUAAGAUAAAUUCACUCAUUUCAAACUAUAUUUAUCAAAAAUAUAGUUCAAUUCCUUUUUUUAUAAUAUUAAUAAUAAUAAUAAAAUAUAUAGAAUUUUAAUUCUGUUACAUCCUAAUAGAUUGUAGAAUUUUCUCAGAGUAGUUAACUUUUUCAUUUAUUUUAUCAACAUCUUCUACUUCUACUAAAAAAGAAUGUUAUAUAUCCACGCAAACAUUUUUAAUUUUCUAUAGAACUUUUACUUUCUCUUGACUCAAUAGUUUCAAUAUAUCUCAGCCAAAUGAUUAAACUCAAAUGGUUAAUAAAUUUUUUAGGAUGAAUCAUUUAGGAGAACUUAAGUUUGAUUUCGAUGAAGAGAAAAUUUUCCAUAUCAGAUAAAAUUAAGCAUGAACUAUGUGAACAUUAAAAUUCAUCAAUAAUACAUCAAUUGAAACCCACUUCAAAGAUUACAAGAUAUUUAUGGACAACCAACAACACGUCCAUAUCCAUUCCCUCAAAAAAAAAAAAAAAAAACACGUCCAUAUCCAUGUUCACAGUUUUAUUUUAAUUUUGAACCACCACAAUAAGUCUAUAAAGCAUAAAGAAAACGUAAAAGUAACUGAAACCUUAUAAAUAAGAAACUUUGCAAAAUUAGUCAUAUUUAAAUAUAUAAAAAAUCGAUAGAGAAUUCUAGUUUUCAAUUAACUAAAAAAAAAAUCAAUAAUUUCAAAAAUCAUUUUCAUUGACAUAUAAAAAAUCGCUUUAUCCCUUCAAAAAAAAAAAAAAAAUCGCUUUAUGCCUUCAUUUUUCAUACAAAUCUUUCAAAAGUUGUACCGAAGAUUUAGAAGAAAAACCAUAACAAUGUGUAGUCUAUCAUAGUUUCAUAGUCAUAUCUUAAAUUAUAAUCAAAACUAUCACCACGUAGAUAUUUCAAUAUAUAUUUUCUUGCAGGUUUUUACCAAGACAAAAUAUAUUUAGAUAAUUUCUAUCAAUCAUGGACAUAAAAAUAAUUUUAACUUUGGAUUUAAAAAUCUAUCUACAUACAUGCCCUUGAGUUUAAGACACUUACUUAGACUCUUAACUCGUGUUUUUACCUUAGAUUAGAUGACAAUAUAUUUAUGAUUUAUUAGCUAUCAUCCAAUAUUCUUUACACUUUAUUUGAUGACGAUCCUUUUCAUGUAAUCCGAUACCUUAAAAAAUAAAAAAUUUAACAUUUCUAUACAAUAAAUAAUUAAAUUUUGUUUGGUACUGGUCAGAAGACCAGUCACAUGUUGACAAGUGGUCUAAACUUACACUUCCUUAAUGUUCCGCACUUGAGAAAAUACGCUAGCUCAAGUGCACCGCGCCUCACAAGAGCGUGUCCGUCGCGCGAGGAUCACCCUACACGUGUCCUCUAACUGUCCCUAAUCACACGCCGCAAAAUCCGGAGACGGUUAUGCUCAACGCGCGCUUAUAUAAGGGUGAACUUACUUCAUCCUCAAGGUAUGAUUCACUUUUCACAACACUUUCUACACACUCUCAGUUACAUUAUUGACUUGUGCGUUGGAGUGCUAACAUGACUGCAUACACCUUUCGCCCCACCGCAAGGAUUAGUCACCGCCGUACCGAAAACUGUCACUAUCACACUCGAGCACUUUCCGCCAUCGUUACCUUUCAUCCAUCCUCACUGAAAAGAUCAAAUUUGCUUUUAGAUUUUUGAAAAUAUUAAUAAAAAAAAAAAGAAUUCGGAUAGUUAAGAAAAAUUAGAAGAGAAUUGUUGUGCCAUGGUCUUGAAAGCAAACUUCGAUGGACCUCUAAUGCACUAUUUAGCUUUCUUCUAAUUAAGUGAUGCAUGCAUCUAACAUUUUUUUAUUUUUUGGACAAAAAACUUAUAAGGUCAUGAGUCAUGACUCAUGAAUCAUCAUUGUCUUUGCGCCUCAUAUAUAAAUCACGUCUCACAGAUAUGUCAGACAAAAAAUAAAAUCAUGCAUCUAUCUCAGCAUGAUUAUAUAAUACUCAAGUAAUGGCAACUUGUCAAAAUUCUACAGGUUGGUUUCUCAUCUUAAACUUAGAAAAUUGCAUACAAGUUUACAACCAUCCAUGGGAUGACACAUGUUGUGCACGUGUCAAGAAGUUAGACACGUGGUUAUCAUACACGACUCAUGAAACACUAUAAAUAGUGCAUGAAAUGAAACUCAAAAUCUCACAACAAAAGUAGUCUACAUAUAUUCAAUUCAUAGGAAGAAAGUUUGUAUCAUAUAAGACAAACUAGUGAGUGAAGCAGUUAUACCAUUUGAAGAAGAAAGAUGGCAUCCCAAGAUCAGAGCUUCAAAGCUGGUGAGACCAUGGGUCGAACUGAGGUAUUAUAAUAAACGUCAUUCACACUUUAUGUAUACCAUUUUUUUCAUUUCCUUGUUUAUUAAAAUGAUAAUAUUUAUCGCACUUUAUGUAAACAAUACACACUAUAUAUAAGAUUAAAUAUAUCAUGUCUAAUAUAAGUUUAAUUUUUAUAUUAAAGUUAAUUAGUUUUAGUCCUUUUUUCUUAUAGAGCCUAUUUUAGAAGGACUAGAAACACACAUUUUUAGAUUAACAUAACUGUAAUCCCUACAUAAAAAAAUGUCACAGUUUGAAUUUAGUAACAUUCAAAAAAUGUCACUAUUUCAUUUAGCACACAUUUUUUUAUAGAGCCUAGUAUUGUUGUAAGUACUAUAGUUUAGUUUUAUAACAAAUUUUUUGGAUUAACAUAACUAUGAUUUGUUGGAUGUGUUGAUCAGGAAAAGUCAAACCAGAUGAUGGGUAAUAUAGGUGACAAGGCACAAGCUGCCAAGGAAAAGGUCCAGCAAACAGCCCAAGCAGCUAAGGAGAAGACAGGACAGACAGCCCAAGCAGCUAAGGAGAAAACCCAGGAAACAGCCCAAGCAGUCAAGGAUAAAACCCAACAAACAGCCCAAGCAACAAAGGAUAAAACCCAAGACACAACUGGUCAAGCAAGAGACAAGGGUUAUGAAAUGGGCCAGGCUACAAAAGAAACUGCCCAAUCAGGAAAGGACAACUCAGCUGGGUUUUUGCAACAGACAGGUGAGAAGGUUAAGGGUAUGGCACAAGGUGCAACUGAAGCAGUUAAGAACACUUUAGGAAUGAAUAAUGAUGAGGAAGACAAG